rnacentral:rRNA from 1 species
UACGUAGGGUGCAAGCGUUGUCCGGAAUUACUGGGCGUAAAGCGCACGUAGGCGGCUUUGCAAGUUAGAGGUGAAAGCCCGGGGCUCAACUCCGGAAUUGCCUUUAAAAACUGCAUCGCUAGAGUUGUGGAGAGGUAAGUGGAAUUCCGAGUGUAGAGGUGAAAUUCGUAGAUAUUUCGGAAGAACACCAGUGGCGAAGGCGACUUACUGGACACAUACUGACGCUGAGGUGCGAAAAGCGUGGGGAGCAAACAGG